AUGCCGGCCAAGUACCUGCAGGCGCUGGGAGAGGACAGGCGGCCGGACCUGCACCGCCAGAUCGGCUGCGUCACCGGGAUCCUGCAGGCCUUCGACCGCCGCUACCCCAUCGCCGCCCACCACUCCCACAAGAGGCUUCUCCCCCCAGGCAAUGCACUGUCAAGCAGCCCGAGCGUAGGGGAAGAGCGCACCAGAUACGGACCCCAGAUUGUUCUCGACAAGAACUUCAGUAAAAGCUGGAUCGAAAAUCAAAGAGCAACGUCAACAAUGGAGACCUCAUCAUCAUCAUGUUCAUCGUUUUCCUCCCUUGAUGGCAAUAGGUCAACACAACAGGACCUAUCCUCAACUGAUCGAAUGCUAUUUCCGGAGAAACCAUUCAAGUGCUCGCCGAGGCUCAAGAGCUCGCCUGAGAGUGACAAUGGACCGGACUACCUCCUGGAUGAUACCCUCACCAACACGCCCUCAGCUCAAUCCAGCCACCCGACUCUUGGUAUAAGAAAUCUGGUAAAGGAUUCGAUUUACAGAGAUAGUCGUGAUUUGUCAGCCAGAACUUCCACAAUGGAAGCAGUGGCAAACAACCGUGGAGAUCCAGCAACAUGCUUGGAUGAGUCCCCUAGCAGUGAUAUCCAAGGAAAGAGCAAGGGAACCAUGGACAUCAAUGAGUCGCUCCGAGUGCUGGCCAAGCUCAGGGAAUCCUCUUGGAGUCCAUCUGAAUCUGGCCACCAACCAAGGCUGUCUUGCGAUGCUCCUCGGUUCUCAUAUGACGGGAGGGAAUCGGCAUCAAAACGUAGGGAGAUGCCAAGAUUGUCGCUGGACAUCAAGGAAGGCCCUCUUAGGAUCCGUGAAAUGGACUCGCGGCCGAAGCCGAACAUGAAUGACACAGAAAGGAGUAUCAGUUUUGGUUCUGAUAAAGAAUCCAAUGCAGAGAUCCAGAAAGAACAACCAGCAGCCUCUAAGCGUCUUCCAAGUGUCGUUGCAAAACUCAUGGGUUUGGAAGAGUUGCCUGAGCCCAACGACACAAAGGUGAUAUCACCACAGGCACCCAAAUCAGUUCAAGAGAGGAAGCAAGAACAUAUACUGCUCCCUUUGAGCCUCUCCUCGCAUAAUGAGCCUGCUCGUAGGCAACACAGGAAUCUGGAUGCAACAAUCAGGAAUGUUCCUAACUCUAAGUUCCCAGCUGAAACUGCACCUUGGAAGCAGGAAAGGAUCGUGCUACCCAGAAAAUUGCCGAAAGGGUCCAAGGGGGCUCAUGGAAAAGAGCAACCUGCUGCAUCAGUUUACAGUGAGAUAGAGAAACGACUCAAUGACCUUGAUUUUCAGCACUCAAACAAGGACCUGAGGGCACUUAAGCAGAUCCUGGACUCGAUGCAAGCAAAAGGACUGUUGCAGAACAAGAAACGCGAGGAAGCAUCAAUGCUCAAGUUAUAUGAUGAUGAUUACAAUAACCAAGAGGUGACUGAUGCUAAUCCGAGACUGAGCUGUAACACAAACUCCAAUCAGAUAUCUGAAGGGGCCCCAUCGCCAUCAAUGGAAGAAGAAGAGAGCAUUGAAGAAAAAUUCUUUAAAUCUCCUAUUGUGAUCAUGAAGCCUGCAAAUUCUGCAGACUUGUUGGGUGACGCAGAUUCUCCUGUUGUUCCAUUGAGGGGGCUCUCAGAUUUACCGCAGCUGCGGACAGUCAAUAGCACUGAUAAAAGGAAAAUGCCAAAGAUCAAUAGGGCAGCUGUUGAGCAACGUCUGAAAUCUAGUCCAACGGUGCCUGCUUCUGAUAGGAGACCAAAUGGAAGAAAUGAAGUGAUGAGCAGGAAACAGAAGUCUAGUUCGCAGUUGAUGACUGAGAGCUCAUCCAGAAGACAGCAGUUACCAAGAGACAAUAAUGGAAUGCUAAAGCAUAAAAACUCCACUAGCCCCAGAUUACCACAGAAAAAGCUCGACAUGGAGCGAAGGUCUAGACUGACUAUUCCUUCUCCUGAGGCUAACAAGAACCAAAGGCAAUCUGUGGAUAAGAGUCACUUGGAUACAGUAUCACCCAGAAGCAAAGUUAGAAGAAAGCUUGCUCAAGGUGAAGAUGGCCAUCAUAAUGUUGCAAAGAGCAGGACAAGAAGUCUUAACCAGCAAGGCGAUGAUAUGUCUUUAAUGUCGGAUGGCAGUAUGAGUGUUGUAUCAGAGCUGGACAUAGAAGUAACAAGUGCUGACAGAUCUGCAGAAGUUAAUGCAUCGAGCUUCCAGCAAGGCAAUCAAACUCCACUAGGAAGGAAUCCACAAAAAGUGAAAACCUCUUAUGAUGCAAACAAGGACCUGUCAUCUAUGGAUCACGCAGCAGCUGUCCCUGAGCGGCCAAGUCCAGUCUCUGUCUUGGACUAUUCAUUUGACCAGGAGAAUUUGUUCCGUACCAGCAAGACCUCAAAUUCACCUAAUGUUGAUGAUCAGUGGCAUCCAUCAGAUGCAAAGUCAACAAAGCUCACUGCUCAGUCCGAGAAGAACAAGCUCGCAAAUGUAGCGAGCCUUCUUGAGAAGCUCCAGCAAUUGACUGUAAGCAAGGAUGACGAUGAGGCCCCUCCUGUGGAUCACAUUGCUUUCUUGUGUGAGACACAAAUUCCGGACCACCGCUAUGUGUCGGAGAUCCUACUGGCCUCGGGCCUUCUGAUGAAAGACCUGGGUACGGGCCUGUCGCAAAUCCAGCUCCACGCCUCCGGCUACCCCAUCAAUCCUGACUUGUUCCUCGUGCUGGAGCAACGCAAGUCCGGAUGGACCUCCAAACCUGAGGGCGUCCAUCAAAGCAGAAGGUCCGACGACCCCAAGAGAGCUCACCGGAAGCUAAUGUUCGACGCCGUGAACAUGCUCCUCCUCGACAAGUUUGAGAAAGAAACCUCGGUCCAUGCGACUAGCUCGCUCACCGGAGCGAGGGAGGUGUCCAGCGGUCAGCAGCUGGUGAAGGCCAUCUGCUCAGAGAUCGAGUACCUCAAGACGGAGAGAUCACGGAUGUGCCAGGAGAAGAGCAGCAGUGUGAUACCUGACGCAGAGAUCCUGCACAGGCUGGAAGGGUGGACGACGAGCUUCGGCCAGCAGCAGCUCCCCGGGAUGAUACUGGAGAUCGAGAGGUCAAUAUUCAAGGAGCUCGUCGACGAGGUGGUUCGUGGCGAGGCUGCCGACGGGCCACAGGCAAGGGCUGGCAGGCGCGGCAGGAGGCGCCUCUUCGCUUGA
rnacentral:rRNA from 1 species